UGGAACUAUGUUCAUUUGUUGAUGGAACUAACUGGAUUGUGAUGAAAGAUUUCUGGGUUUUCUACGAAGAGGAUUUUCUUCUUUGUUAUUUUCUUUAUGCCUCUGAACAACUGUUGUGCUCAAGUGGGAAAUUAAAUUCCGCUCACAACCUACAA